rnacentral:tRNA from 1 species
GCCUGAAUGGCGGAACUGGUAGACGCGCACGACUCAAACUCGUGUACCUUUGGUGUGUGGGUUCGAUUCCCACUUCAGGUA